GACGAACGCUGGCGGCGUGCCUAAUACAUGCAAGUCGAACGCAGUUGCGAACGGGUGAGUAACGCGUAUGUAACUGCCUGGUAGCGGGGGUAACUAUUUGCUACGAUCGCUAAUACCGCAUACCACCAGAUGGACCUUCGUUGUAUUUGCUAGUUGGUGGGGUAACGGCCCACCAAGGCAACGGUACAUAGCCGACCUGGGAGGGUGAUCGGCCAAAAUGGGACUGGGAAACGGCCCAGGAUCCUACGGGGGGCAGCAGUAGGGAAUCUUCGGAAAUGGACGGAAGUCUGACCGAGCAACGCCGCGGGAGUGAAGAAGGUUUUCGGAUCGUAAAGCUCUGUUGUAAGAGAAGCGGUAUCUGAACAGAAAGGGACGGCUAACUACGUGCCAGCAGCCGCGGUAAUAC
rnacentral:rRNA from 1 species